rnacentral:lncRNA from 1 species
CAUGGAAAAAAAAUUUUCUCAAAUUUGUUCAAAUCUUAGUUCUCUGGUCGGCGUCUCCCUCAAGUUUUCUCUGAUUCUCUCGAUCUCGACGUCUCCCUCAAGCUUUCUCUUCAUCUCGACGUCUCUCUCGGGGCUUCCAUCUCGACGUCUCUCAGGUAUGAACUCCUCCCCAUCGUCCUCCUCCCCACCAUCCUCCUCCAACUCCGUUGCUGACCUGUCGUGGCCUCCUCGCAUCUGCCAUGAUCAGUCC